rnacentral:rRNA from 1 species
UACGUAGGGUGCGAGCGUUAAUCGGAAUUACUGGGCGUAAAGCGUGCGCAGGCGGUUUUGUAAGCCAGAUGUGAAAUCCCCGGGCUUAACCUGGGAAUGGCAUUUGGGACUGCAAGGCUUGAGUGCGGCAGAGGAGACUGGAAUUCCUGGUGUAGCAGUGAAAUGCGUAGAUAUCAGGAGGAACACCGAUGGCGAAGGCAGGUCUCUGGGCCGUAACUGACGCUGAGGAGCGAAAGCGUGGGGAGCGAACAGG